UGGGAUGCAGCUCACUGGUAGAGCACUUGCCUAGCAUGCAUGAGGCCCUGGGUUUGAUCCUCAGCACUACAA
rnacentral:tRNA from 1 species